rnacentral:tRNA from 1 species
GACGUCGUGGCAGAAUUGGUUAUGCGGCGGAUUGCAAAUCCGCGUCGAUGAGGGUUCGAAUCCAUCCGGCGUCU